UGGGGAAUAUUGCACAAUGGGCGGAAGCCUGAUGCAGCGACGCCGCGUGGGGGAUGAAGGCCUUCGGGUUGUAAACUCCUUUCGACAGGGACGAAGCUUUUGUGACGGUACCUGUAUAAGAAGCACCGGCUAACUACGUGCCAGCAGCCGCGGUAAUACGUAGGGUGCGAGCGUUGUCCGGAAUUACUGGGCGUAAAGAGCUCGUAGGUGGUUUGUCGCGUCGUCUGUGAAAUUCCGGGGCUUAACUCCGGGCGUGCAGGCGAUACGGGCUGACUUGAGUGCUGUAGGGGAGACUGGAAUUCCUGGUGUAGCGGUGAAAUGCGCAGAUAUCAGGAGGAACACCGAUGGCGAAGGCAGGUCUCUGGGCAGUAACUGACGCUGAGGAGCGAAAGCAUGGGUAGCGAACAGGAUUAGAUACCCUGGUAGUCCAUGCCGUAAACGGUGGGCGCUAGGUGUAAGGGGCUUCCACGUCUUCUGUGCCGUAGCUAACGCAUUAAGCGCCCCGCCUGGGGAGUACGGCCGCAAGGCUA
rnacentral:rRNA from 1 species